rnacentral:rRNA from 1 species
GACAGAGGCCUCAAGCGUUAGGCGGAAUCACUGGGCUUAAAGCGUGUGUAGGCGGAUCGUUAAGUGCCUUGUGAAAUCCCACGGCUUAACUGUGGAACGGCUGGGCAUACUGGCGGUCUUGAGCCAUCUAGGGGCGACUGGAACAAACGGUGGAGCGGUGAAAUGCGUAGAUAUCGAGAGGAACACCUGCGGCGAAGGCGGGUGCUGGGCUGAUACUGACGCUGAGGCGCGAAAGCUAGGGGAGCGAACGGG